rnacentral:rRNA from 1 species
UAGGGAAUCUUCGGCAAUGGGGGCAACCCUGACCGAGCAACGCCGCGUGAGUGAAGAAGGUUUUCGGAUCGUAAAGCUCUGUUGUAAGAGAAGAACGUGUGUGAGAGUGGAAAGUUCACACAGUGACGGUAACUUACCAGAAAGGGACGGCUAACUACGUGCCAGCAGCCGCGGUAAUACGUAGGUCCCGAGCGUUGUCCGGAUUUAUUGGGCGUAAAGCGAGCGCAGGCGGUUUAAUAAGUCUGAAGUAAAGGCAGUGGCUUAACCAUUGUUCGCUUUGGAAACUGUUAAACUUGAGUGCAGAAGGGGAGAGUGGAAUUCCAUGUGUAGCGGUGAAAUGCGUAGAUAUAUGGAGGAACACCGGUGGCGAAAGCGGCUCUCUGGUCUGUAACUGACGCUGAGGCUCGAAAGCGUGGGGAGCAAACAGG